UCUGGCUCGGCUCUGCGGUCACACGGGUGGAUUCCCGCGGGUGGCGGGUUUAGGUCACGUGACGCGCGCAAGAUGGCGGCUCCCGGGGACGGUGCUGAUCUGGAAGCCUCGCUGCUGAGUUUCGAGAAGCUUGACCGGGCUUCUCCGGACCUGUGGCCUGAGCAGUUGCCCGGCGUCGCCGAGUUCGCCGCCUCCUUCAAAAGCCCUAUUACAAGCUCGCCUCCCAAAUGGAUGGCUGAACUGGAAAAUGAUGAUAUCGAUAUGUUAAAGGAGCUGGGAAGCCUCACUACAGCUAACCUGAUGGAGAAGGUUCGUGGCCUGCAGAACUUGGCUUAUCAGCUGGGACUGGAUGAAUUGCCGGCUGAGACAAAGGAAUAAUGCAAUUCACAUUGCUACAACUUGGGGAAGCUGUGAAGAGAGAGCUGAAUGACCAAGGAGGAAAGCUUGGAAAUGACAUGGCUAGAGAAAUGACUCGAGGGAAGUUCCUGAACAUCUUAGAGAAACCCAAGAAGUAACUACAGCAUCUGAAGCUGGGACAAUAAAGUAUCCUGACUGGAUCAUAUUACGUACUGUGGAUCCAGAUGAACCCCAAAACUUCUAAGAAGUACAAAGCUCUUGCUGUAGACCCUCAGAAGCAAGCACCUCUUUUACUUCCACAGCUCUUCUCUUUGCAGGAGAGACAUACUGCAUACACAGGUUACUAGGACUGUGAUUAGGUGCAUUGGAAUUCAGACUUCUUCCUGCCUUAAGAUACCCAAAUGGAAGGAUUUGACCCUGAUAUGCAACAGCAAGGUCACCUGAUUGGUUGGUUGUUUUUUUUUUUAGUCAGCUAUUCAAAGUGUGCCCCCAUGGUGACCUCACUGGAUUGUUUUCGAGUGGCAGCACCAGUGUAAAGUACACAGCAGCUCUUCAUAAAACUGGCAGCAUGCAUCCUGUUGCACUGGCCUUCGUGUGUCUUGUAUGUGCAUUGGUUUCCUACACACAAAUUCUGUGUUGAAUGACUGGACAACAGUUUGGGGUGCAGUCUGAGAUAGAUAGCAGUGGUUCUGCAGAACAUUUGCUUUUAGUGUAGAAAUUGAGUGCAGUCUGCAUUAGAUUCCAGUUGAUCUCUGCCUUCAGAGAAAUGUGCCCACUACAAAGAGGAUCUUCAGUCUGUUGGUCCUUUCACUUCCCAUGGCUUGUAUCAACUAUUGUGUGUACUGAGAGCUUAGAGUGCUACAGUUUUCUAGUGAAAUCUAGACUGACAGACCUAGGGGCUAUGAAGUGUUACCAUGAAGGAAAUAGUUGCCAUAGUAAGCUCAGCGUAUACACAAAGAAACAGCUUUGUCUGCUCAGCAAUUCUCAAUUUGCUUCCUACAGAGCUAGAAACAGAGUAGAUAUAUAAGGUUGAAAGGCAGUAAUGUUUCAAUGCUCCAGAAAUGGGCAGACUUGUGAGCCCCAUUGUGAGGAUACUCUGCUUAAAUGGAGUCUUCACACUUCUAAAAGUAUCACUUCUUGGUACUUUCAUUACUUGGAAAACUGGGAUCUCAAAAUUAGGUUCACCUGCAGAAAUAAAAUUCUGAAGGGAGAAUUUUCUUAACACACAGUUCUGGACUUUACUCAUUUUACAGUUUAAUGCAUUUUCUUUCUGUUAAUGCACUUCUGCAUGUUCAUGUAACUAAGAAGUUAAGGAGCAUGUUUGGAUUUUGUUUACAAGGACUUCUUUUUAAUCCUAUUUUUCUAGGAAAUAAUAGUUUAAGUGUUAGUAACUGUGAUCUUUCUAGGGUAAAACAUAGUGUUAAAACAUCGGAUAAAGAAUAGGGUUUUUUUUCCAUUUAAAAAUGUUACUUUUAGCAUCCAUGCUUUUUAGAGUCUGUCAUUUUCCCAGACUGAUGAUCACAUGUGAGAGGAGAAAGGUCUUGGAAAUAGUACCUGUGCCUUGUCAUUAACAGGUUGUCUUUAGAGCAUUGCAUAUGUCUGUCUUUGCAGAGAGAGACUGUUUUCAGUUAUGUAUGUGUGUGAUAAAAGAUUUUUAGUCAAAUAGACUCCUCUGAAUUUUUUCUUAAGGUGACUGUGGUAUUUUAGCUUGCUGUCUAUGGUCGUGGUUGUUAUCAGUGAAAACCAGGCUUGUUUUGGACAGCUCUAGUUAUCUAAAUUUAAGCAGUUAAAUAACAAAUCCCAGGAAGGUCAUGCACAAAUACUGAAUAUUUAGGAAUUUCAGGAGCGUGGUUUCAAACUUAGUGGAUUUACUUCCCUACUUUGGUUUACAUAGUACCAUGCUUAACAGGAACUCCAUCCCUUGAGGACAUGAGAGAUAAGACAUCGGAGUGAGAAGGUAAGAAUGAUGGUCCAGAGACAAAAGCUGCUGAUGCAAGCCGAUGUUAAUGUAGUUUUAAAAAUUAUACAUUUAAAAUGCAAUUAUAAGUUUGUAUACUACAUAUAGUAUGUAUACACACCACAUAAUGGGAUACUUGGUCUGUAUGACUAAUACAAGUUUGUGCAUUUCAUACAGGUUUGUUGAUCCAACACAUUAAGAAAUUGAGAUCUAAAAGGAGGAGGAAUGUAGGAGAAGAUAUCAAUGCCUGUUUGUUUUCUAAUGUGUCCAGUAAGAAAUUUCAGGCUUUUAGUAGUUCUUAGUAACGUACAUGUCUUUUAAGAACAAAUAGAAAACCUUAACCAUACAGUACUUAUUGUCUAUAGGGCAGCAAAUAAUAUGUGCCUUAGAACUGUAUUUAUUGGCUUUGUACUUUGUCAUCUGUAGAGAUCAGCCAGUGCUGCGUAUUUUUAUUGGUAAUACAUAUACAUAUUUUGUAUGAUAGCUGGAGAAUUGUAAUCUGUUACUGCUCUGUAAUCUGAUAACAAACAAAUAUAGAGCUCAAAGAGUAGCCUGAGUUUCCAGAAGAGCCCUCUGGAAUGCAAAAGCUGUUGGCUUAGUCACCUGGGCAGUGCUCUUUCUUAGGCUCUUCUUAACUGUUAAGUUGAUAGACACUUUGCUCAUCACCACUUCAGUUUUCAACCUGUGACUACUUCAUUCCUGUCAGUAAGUAAAUAGUUGGCAAUAUCCAGAUGGUACUGGAAAUUUUCAUACCCUCUUGAACCACCAUUUUUCCCUCUUCAGUGAUGUCCUUCCCAACAUCACUGCAGCAUCUAUCUAUAUAAUAACAUCUGGGUGACUUUAUAUUGCUGGUAAAUUUCUAUAUUUUAAAACAACAACAACAAAUUUUGAUAAAUGAUGUGAAUGAAGAGUACAAUAAGAUCACAAUUCAGUAAUACUAUUUGAGCUUUUGAGCUUGUGCAGUGCUUUAUGAAGUAUUUUCAUGCAUUGGUAUGUUAGAUGUUACUGUCAGAUUCUUGGAAAUGAAACCUAUGGUUUUAGUUCCUUUUAAAUGCUGUUGUUGUAUUAAAUGCGUAGUUGUAAAGGCUGUUCACUUCAUUUUUGGAGUGUCCAGUGCUUUAGAGUUUAAUCCAACUCAGAAUAAAAUCUUGUUCUAUUAAUUGA